AUUGAACGCUGGCGGCAUGCCUAACACAUGCAAGUCGAACGGUAACAGGGGCUUCGGCCCGCUGACGAGUGGCGGACGGGUGAGUAAUACGUAGGAAUCUACCUUUUAGUGGGGGAUAACUUAGGGAAACUUAAGCUAAUACCGCAUAAUCACUACGGUGGAAAGCAGGGGAUCGUAAGACCUUGCGCUGAUAGAUGAGCCUACGUCGGAUUAGCUUGUUGGUAGGGUAAAGCCUACCAAGGCGACGAUCCGUAGCUGGUCUGAGAGGACGACCAGCCACACUGGGACUGAGACACGGCCCAGACUCCUACGGGAGGCAGCAGUGGGGAAUAUUGGACAAUGGGGGCAACCCUGAUCCAGCAAUGCCGCGUGUGUGAAGAAGGCCUU
rnacentral:rRNA from 1 species